GAUGAACGCUGGCGACGUGCUUAACACAUGCAAGUCGAACGGAAAGGCCUCUUUCGGGGGGUACUCGAGUGGCGAACGGGUGAGUAACACGUGAGUAACCUGCCCUUGACUUUGGGAUAACUUCAGGAAACUGGGGCUAAUACCGGAUAGGAGCUCCUGCUGCAUGGUGGGGGUUGGAAAGUUUCGGCGGUUGGGGAUGGACUCGCGGCUUAUCAGCUUGUUGGUGGGGUAGUGGCUUACCAAGGCUUUGACGGGUAGCCGGCCUGAGAGGGUGACCGGCCACAUUGGGACUGAGAUACGGCCCAGACUCCUACGGGAGGCAGCAGUGGGGAAUAUUGCACAAUGGGUGGAAGCCUGAUGCAGCAACGCCGUGUGCGGGAUGACGGCCUUCGGGUUGUAAACCGCUUUCGCUCAUGACGAAGCUUUGUGUGACGGUAGUGGGUAAAGAAGCACCGGCUAACUACGUG
rnacentral:rRNA from 1 species